GUGCUUACCUGGCAGGGGCGAUACCAUGGUCACGAAGGUGGUUUUCCCAGGGUGAGGCUCAUCCAUUGCACUUCAGAUGUGCUGACCCCAGUGAUUUCCCCAAAUGUGGCAAAGUUGACUGCAUAAAUCUCUGGUAGUAGGGGACUGUGUUUGCACUCUCCCCUG
ensembl:snRNA U1 U1 spliceosomal RNA